UUCUUAUUUAGAGAGGUGGAGGGACUGGCCCUAUGAAACCCGACAACCGACAUUUUUUUGAUGUAAUGGUGUCAAUUCCUGCAGAACAUAGUUCUGAAUAAUAAGAA
rnacentral:ncRNA from 2 species